CAGUAAUUACUUCAUUAUUAAGAAAAUAUACAUUGUCGUGGGAAGAUGUGAGAUGAACUGGGCUCCUCCCCUGACAAACUCCUAGUAAUGGCUUCGUCUUCUCUACUUUAAGAAAUAACCUCACUAGAAGUCAGAGGAAAUCAAAAAGGCGAUAAAGAUGCGAGCUCUGGCAUUGCUGCACCCAUCUUGUCACACCUGAAGAUGAAACCUACACAAAGAAAAGGGUAGAACCAAGAGAACAGAAGAGAAAUAAAACUAGAACAAUCAGAUUGUCUCGUUUGGAACCUAGCCCAUCUGUGGAUUUCCAGUCACGUGAGUCUAUCUGGGCCUGAUAUCCAAGACGGCUCACUCACAUGGCUGAGAAUCCAUGCUGGGUGUCAGCUGGGA
rnacentral:lncRNA from 1 species